CCCAAACCUUCCAAUCCAUCACCUAUCGCAAGUUUCCGAAUGACCCAGAAAUGAUACGAAAGUGGAUUCAAGUUAUUCCAAGAAAAGAUUAGACUCCUUCCUUUUCCUUCUUCCAAAGUAUGUUCACUGCGCACUUCUUGCCCCAAGACUUUGUUACCAAUAGUCAACAUUAUCUGCCAUCCAGGAGAAAAAAGAGAACCUAUCAAGACGAAGGCGUCCUCUCUCGAAGACGUCUCAAAGCCAGUGCUUAUCCCACCCAAUUCCCUAAUACCAAACCGUACCUUUCAAGGACGCCCGUGGCGGCUAGACAUGAAACUUCGUCGAUUUCGGCUCGAUUUCGGCUCGAUUGGAGCGAGAACAGCGAGCUCAGAAUUUGGCCAUUUCCGAGUUUUUUCAAGCAGAUCAAUUCACGUCGUUGAAAGAGCUUGAUGAGCGUAUAGACUGAUCAGCGCUGCCGCUUGGCUUGUCCGAAGUUCGCCGUGGAAGUUCUCAUACGUUUCUCUGCUUCAAUGAUCAAGCUGAUGGAAGCCUCGAAAUAUUCUUUCAACUUUCCAUCCUUCAGGAUUCAACCUUUGUAAUGAAAAUGGGUGACAUGAUUGUACCGAAGAAAAUUGUCUCGCAUGUGACUACCGAUGACAAAUUAACAAGUUGUUCUGCAAUUGGAAACGUCCUGAUUGCCCUGAAAGUCUAUGCGGAAGAAUUCGAUCAAAAUCCUCAAUGCAUUGAAAAUGUUGUUUCGGAUUUCAAACGGAAAAUUUCACAAUUGUCCAUUUCUGAUGACCGAGCACCAAAAUUCCAAUUUCUGUUGGAACAACUGGACCUAGCUCUCCAUCGAUCCAAAAAACAACGCCGAUACUCUUUAGACUUAUUAGCAUCAAGUUACCUGUGUUUGGUUACGUCUCCUGCUCUUUAUCGACAUCUCAUCAGCAAUAACAUCCUCUGAUCCCGCAUAUCAAGGAAUUAACAAGACCAAUGGACACCCAGACUGGCCUCAGUGAUAGGAACGGUGUAUAUUUUAAGUAAAGGCUAAAAAGUCUAAAUGAUAGAGAGAAGCUGAUGGUGCUAAUGGCGGACGAAAUUUACUGCGCUUAAAGAGCAGAGUUUGUCGGUGGCAGCUUCUUUGGAUUGAUGGACAAAAAAUAUGUGAAGACUGUCCUUGUGUUCAUGAUAAAGUUCAUUACUGGAAAGUUCAGCGACACUGUUGCCCUCUAUCCUAUGACCACCUUAGACUCAAAAACCAUGAAGACGACCACCAUGGAAGUCUUCAAGUCCUUGCACAGUUUAGGCUGUAAGGUACUCGUGAUGUCCGUGGAUAUCGCCAGCGCCAACCGAAAGCUCUACUCCCACGAGUUUUGCCAGGGCAAUCUUCAAACAUCAGUUCCUCAUCCCUUUGACCCAGAACAGCCUUUGUUCCUUUCAUUUGACGCAGUUCAUUGCUUCAAAAAUUUGAGAAAUAAUUUUGCAACCAGAAAAAAUGCUCAGUGCCCAAUGCUUGAAGGUGAUGGAGUUCUUCAACCAACCUUUCUUCAUCUCGAGGAGCUUUAUAACCUUGAAAAAGGAAGGCCUUUAAAGAUGGCCUAUAAACUCAAUCACGAGGUGCUCUAUCCAACAGCAAUUGAGAAGACCAAUGCUCAGCUUGCCGAUAGUGUCUUUCAUGACUCUACUAUAAGUGCUUUUGAGUUCUUUGUUGACUAAUGGAGAAAAACCUGCUUGGAAGGACUGUGGAUUUACUAAAGAUUGUGCGACAUUGUGAAGACACCCCACCAAGGCUUUCGGAAAAGAGACGUUAGAAAAGUACCAAUUUUGGACAAGAAUAGUGACAAUUUGACCUUUCUGAGGCAUUUCGAAUCUUGGUUGAACAAGUGGGACGCCCUUGAAGCUUCCAAAAAGACAAAAUCAGGUCUAACCCGAGAGACUCUACUUGCCACAAGACAAACUACAAAAGUGCUCAUUGAGAUCGCAGACUAUUUACUGGACAAAGAAAACUUCUCUUACGUUCUCCCUGGCCAAUUGCAAUCUGAUGUCAUUAAAUCAUGCUUCAGUUGGAUUCGGCAACUAGGAGGGGGAAAUUAUUUCCUCUCUAUUCGGUAGGUCCUUGAAGCUGAGAAGUCAAUAAAGUUGCGCUCUCUUGUCUGAUACUCAAAGUGCUCUAUUCAAGAUCUGAAGGAUGUGUUUGUAGACAUUGCUGCUAUCGAAAAAAAAUUGAGGAACGUGGCACUCAACUCGAAACUUUGGUUCCCGAGACCGGCCGAGAUGUAUCCAAGAAUGAGGACCGGAACAUCAUGUUUUAUGUGGCAGGCUACUUUGGAUAAUCCCUGUCCAAAAAGACCAAAUGUGAAGAGUGUAAGGAGCUGUUUGCCAAGUCUCGUACCCUGAGUGUGACCUUUGGAAGCUACCAACCAAAGUGAUAAAAUGCUUCAAUCGGCCUUCUUGGAGCAAGUCAAUCGCGGAGGUUUCGUGCAUCCGAGUGAUAUUUUAUUCGCUUUUUGUCUUGUCAUUUGGAACUUUUAUCGGGAAUUGGAAGAAACGGAGGCAGCCAACAAUGCCUUAUGUCAACACAACACCAGCGUGAAGUGUUUGCUUUGAGUUUUGAGUUUUAUGAAGAAAUUGGAGCAAAAUGACGAGCUUUGGAAUGGAUUUCAGAGCCAGUGCACCAAUGAACAUGCCUUCAUUAACAGCGGAAGUGAAAUUGCCCGGAGACUUUUCAACUUCUUCUCAAAAAACCUUUGUGCUGAGGAGAAUUCCAAGGUUUAUGCUAGCAAAAAGAGAGGCCCCACAGACGGUACGGGUGGCCGAAAGAUUGCUAAAUUACAAUCUACGAACUCGUAGGAAGAGAGAAAAGGAGUCUCAAUAUUGUAUGUUUGUUUUAAUUGAGACUUUAACCAGAAUGUAUAGGCGCUUUAAUAUGUUAUUGUAUAAUAGAAUAUAUCUUUUA